CAGUCGCCACGGUAAUACGAAGGGGGCUAGCGUUGUUCGGAAUUACUGGGCGUAAAGCGCACGUAGGCGGAUAUUUAAGUCAGGGGUGAAAUCCCAGAGCUCAACUCUGGAACUGCCUUUGAUACUGGGUAUCUUGAGUAUGGAAGAGGUUAGUGGAAUUGCGAGUGUAGAGGUGAAAUUCGUAGAUAUUCGCAGGAACACCAGUGGCGAAGGCGGCUAACUGGUCCAUAACUGACGCUGAGGUGCGAAAGCGUGGGGAGCAAACAGGAUUAGAUACCCCGGUAGUCCCUGUCUCUUAUAC
rnacentral:rRNA from 1 species